rnacentral:rRNA from 1 species
UACGUAGGUGGCAAGCGUUGUCCGGAAUUAUUGGGCGUAAAGCGCGCGCAGGCGGUCCCUUAAGUCUGAUGUGAAAGCCCACGGCUCAACCGUGGAGGGUCAUUGGAAACUGGGGGACUUGAGUGCAGAAGAGGAAAGUGGAAUUCAUGUGUAGCGGUGAAAUGCGUAGAGAUGUGGAGGAACACCAGUGGCGAAGGCGACUUUCUGGUCUGUAACUGACGCUGAGGCGCGAAAGCGUGGGGAGCAAACAGG